UAGGAUCCAUCUUAUCACUCACCUACAGCAAUGUAGACAAAUCACAUAAGAACACCAAAAGCACCAAAUACAAUUGCCAAUCACAUACAUAUCAAAUUAAAAGUUAUUAGUGUUGCAAAAAACCAUUCGAAUUCAGUUGAUUGCCAAGUUACAAUUUCCAAGAGAAUUCUGUAAGACGGGAGAAAAAAAAAAGUGAUCAUGAGAAAAACAACUUGGCCCAACACUAAAAAUAUGCAAUCAAUCAAUUUAUGGUAGCUGAUCUUGGCAAACUUUUUAAGAUCAACCCUUCAGUUGAUUACUAGGUUCAAAUUCAGGUAUAUGAAGUACAUAAGAAACAAAGUUUGACCAAGACACCCACAAACAAAAACCAGCUUCUCACAUUUUGAAUAGAAGGAUUUAUUCAUAUGUUCAUCCUAAUUUAGCAAAAAACAAACAUGAAUUAGAUAAAUUAGAGAAGAG
rnacentral:misc_RNA from 1 species